CCCAUUUUUGUACCUGUCCUAGACUAAAUUUCGAAAUUUAUUCCUUUGGGCCUUAGGCCCAUCUUCCACCUGUCCUAAAUUCCAACAAGAUAAUAAUAAAUGAAAUGACAAGGGCUUAGGCCCAAAAUAACAAUACAAUCUCUUAUGAAGAUCAGGCCUUUGGCCCAAUCUUUUCAAUCUUUCGAUCUGUUUCAAAUUCUU
rnacentral:lncRNA from 1 species